UCUUUCUUUGCUGGGCGACCGGCGCACGGGUGAGUAACACGUAUCCACCUGCCCUUUACGUCGGGAUAGCCUUUCGAAAGAAAGAUUAAUACCCGAUAGCAUAAUGAUUCCGCAUGGUUUCAUUAUUAAAGGAUUCCGGUAAAGGAUGGGGAUGCGUUCCAUUAGGUUGUUGGUGGGGUAACGGCCCACCAAGCCUUCGAUGGAUAGGGGUUCUGAGAGGAAGGUCCCCCACAUUGGAACUGAGACACGGUCCAA
rnacentral:rRNA from 1 species